rnacentral:rRNA from 1 species
AAAUCCGGUUGAUCCUGCCGGAGGCUACCGCUAUUGGAGUUCGAUUAAGCCAUGCGAGUCGUGAGUCUUAGGGACUCGGCGUACCGCUCAGUAACACGUGGGUAACCUGCCCUAUGCUGGGGAAUAACCUCGGGAAACUGAGAAUAAUGCCCCA